UUGGUACUCCCUUCGUUCGGAAUUACUUCUCACAGAAAUGGAUGUAUCUAGAUGUAUUUUAGUUUUAGAUACAUCCAUUUUCGAGACAAGUAAUUCCGAACAGAGGGAGUAUUUA
rfam:Triticum urartu cultivar G1812 contig1001819, whole genome shotgun sequence.